rnacentral:sRNA from 1 species
CUGCGGAAGGAUCAUUAUCGAAAUUAUUGGUGAGGGUUGUAGCUGGCCUCUCGGGGCAAUGUGCACGCCCGAACCCUUAAUCCACAUACACCUGUGAACCCAAUGUAGGGGCCCGUUAAAAAAGGUCCCUAUGUCUUAUACACCCCAUUGUAUGUCUCUGAAUGUAAAUCUUUGUCUUCGCCUUGCGGCGUUGAUAGAAUCUAUAUAACUUUCAACAACGGAUCUCUUGGCUCUCGCAUCGAUGAAGAACGCAGCGAAAUGCGAUAAGUAAUGUGAAUUGCAGAUUUUCAGUGAAUCAUCGAAUCUUUGAACGCACCUUGCGCUCCUUGGUAUUCCGAGGAGCAUGCCUGUUUGAGUGUCAUUAAAUUCUCAACCUCGAGUUUUGAUUCGAGGAUUGGACUUUGGAGUGUGCUGGCGUUACCGCGUCGGCUCCUCUUAAAAGCAUCAGCGGAAAUCUAACCUUUGGCUUUUCGAAUGUCAGUGUGAUAAUUGUGUUGCGCUGUCUUCAAAGUUGAAGUUCCGCUUACAGUGGUCUUCGGACAACUCUUAUCAAAUUUGACCUCAAAUCAGGUAGGACUACCCGCUGAACUUAAGCAUAUCAAUAAGCGGAGGAA